UACAGAGGUCCCAAGCGUUGUUCGGAUUCAUUGGGCGUAAAGGGUGCGUAGGCGGCGCGGUAAGUCGGGUGUGAAAUCUCGGAGCUUAACUCCGAAACUGCAUUCGAUACUGCCGUGCUUGAGGACUGGAGAGGUGAGUGGAACUGCGAGUGUAGAGGUGAAAUUCGUAGAUAUUCGCAAGAACACCAGUGGCGAAGGCGGCUCACUGGCCCGAUACUGACGCUGAGGCGCGAAAGCCAGGGGAGCAAAGCGGG
rnacentral:rRNA from 1 species